rnacentral:rRNA from 1 species
GACGAACGCUGGCGGCGUGCUUAACACAUGCAAGUCGAACGAUGAACCCGGAGCUUGCUCCGGUGGAUUAGUGGCGAACGGGUGAGUAACACGUGAGUGAUCUGCCCUGCACUUCGGGAUAAGCCUGGGAAACUGGGUCUAAUACCGGAUAGGACCACUGCCUGCAUGGGUGGUGGUGGAAAGCUUUUGCGGUGUGGGAUGGGCCCGCGGCCUAUCAGCUUGUUGGUGGGGUGAUGGCCUACCAAGGCGACGACGGGUAGCCGGCCUGAGAGGGGGACCGGCCACACUGGGACUGAGAUACGGCCCAGACUCCUACGGGAGGCAGCAGUGGGGAAUAUUGCACAAUGGGCGCAAGCCUGAUGCAGCGACGCCGCGUGAGGGAUGACGGCCUUCGGGUUGUAAACCUCUUUCAGCACCGACGAAGCGCAAGUGACGGUAGGUGCAGAAGAAGGACCGGCCAACUACGUGCCAGCAGCCGCAGUAA